rnacentral:lncRNA from 1 species
AUUAACUGCUGUAGUCCCUUAGGAGGGAUAGGGCCUUAUAAGUCACCUCUCCAUCCAAGAUGAAACAGUUACAGAUGUAUUCAAUGUAAUCUUUGCAAGUCUUGUACAGGUUACCACAGAGAGGUAGGUAUGUGUGUGUGUGUGUGUGUGUGUGUGUGUGUGUGUGUGUGUGUGUGUAUGCGAUUGAGAUUGUGUUGAGAUUGUGUUUGUUGUUUUAAUACAGGUCACAUUACUCAGCCCAGGAUAUUCUCUGGCUUUUGGUUUUUCUGCCUCUGCUCAUUGCACCUGAAAUAAGGCUAAAACCAUGAUGUAUUUAUCAUUAUACACUUAAAAUCAGAAUCAUUUACUAUUGUUAAACAACACACUAAUGAAUUUUUUAUAAAUGGUGGAGUUUAAUUCCAGCCCCAAUUUGUUCCAGAGUCUGGCUCACUGGAAAGGUGUCCAUUGUUCAAAAGGGCAGCAGCAGCAUCAACUCCAGGCGGAAGGCCCAAGGCCAAAGGCCCAAGGCCAGGUCUGCAGUCAGUGCUCAGCCACGGAUCAUUGGAAAUAUCUUUUCUGAAGCCAAGGAGCAGCAGUGGGAACAGUUCAACCAGCUGUCUGGGGAACACCCACAUCUGAACGCACUGCUUUCUGCUCUGUUUUUGCACUGGCCCUCCAGCUGGGUGGUUGACUGGUGUCUAGGCAAACUUUCAGGUGGUGGAGCUCUUGUUUUUGUCCAGGAGUCUUGCUUAUAUAAUACUCAGUGACUGCUGGGAAAGCAAGUGUAGGGGCUCAUUUCGUCCCCAACCCCUGAGAAUUAUCAAAAGGUCCAUAAAUAUUUGCUAUCUCUUGAAUUGAAGAGAGUAUUUUUUUAGAAAAAAUUAGAGCGUUAGAUGGGGAAUGUACUUCCAUGUAUGUUUAUCUAAUUGAUUGUUGAAUAAAAUACUGUUUGGCCAAUGGCAGCAAGUGAGGCAGGAUUCUGGGAAAUGUAUGAGAGAAGUGGUGAUCCAGGCAGGAAGUGACAUAGCAAGGAGACUCAUAUUUGAGCGAGGAGAAAGGGGAAGUUCCCUCUUUUCCCCUUCCUCCUCCAGCGGAGCAAUGUGAUCCACCAGCAAGGAGCCAAUAAGGCAUCCGAUAAGAUAAGUCUUAUAAAAUAUAUAGAUUUAUGAUACUUAAGACUGAGCUAACAGAUGAGAAUCCUAGUCAUUGGCCAAGCAGCUUUGAACCUAAUACAAGUUUCUGUGUAUUCAUUUGGACCCUAACUUGGGCAGGCGACUGGCGUAAAGCACACACAUGGUGGUGGGGCUCGGCAGCUUUUGGCAGAAAGAUUUAUUGUAACAAGCCUUAGGGCAUAUUAUUCACUGAUUUGGUUAAGCAUAUUCAACUAGUUUAUGUUGUAAAAUCAUGGAGAGCAAUGAGAUAACAAAGGUGUUCCUGACUGCUUGUGGGUCAUAUGUCAGUUAAAUAAGGAGUUCUCAUAAAAAAUGUCUGUUAACUUCUACUUACUUCCAAGUUGGAGUUCAAAGAAUUCCUCUGACUGAGUUGGUUGUAGAUUAUACAAGUUAUAAUCUCUUCCUUAUCUGCAUUAUUUCACAGUGGGUACCUUCUUAGUUCUUCUUUAACAAGAAAAAAU